CUUAGACACGCUUAAACAACAUUAUGAGAAUAAUUUUGGAAAACCAACAAACUCCAAAAAAUUAUUAAAAAAAAUUAAUUACCUGAAGGCGGUAGUAAAAAAAAACUGAUGCCAACAUAACUGGGAAUAAAAAGAAAAAGCUAAGUGCAGCAGAACAACUCAUGUACACGGCACUACAGGGGGAUCAAGAGGAGUGCAAUCCUGUUCUUUUCAAAAUACCUGGACAUGUUGCAGUCGGAAUCCCUUCUGAUGAA